GCCCGCUUGGCCCAGUGGUAAGGCGUGUCACUCGUAGGAUGACUGGAUUAUGUAAUAACUCCUGAGCCACGACAUGACAAGAUCAGUUGUUCGAAUCAGCUAGUGGGCA